GGUCCUACGGGGGGCAGCAGUGAGGAAUAUUGGUCAAUGGGCGAGAGCCUGAACCAGCCAAGUCGCGUGAAGGAUGACGGCCCUAUGGGUUGUAAACUUCUUUUGUCAGGGAGCAAUUGAGUCCACGUGUGGGCUUAGCGAGAGUACCUGAAGAAAAAGCAUCGGCUAACUCCGUGCCAGCAGCCGCGGUAAUACGGAGGAUGCGAGCGUUAUCCGGAUUUAUUGGGUUUAAAGGGUGCGCAGGCGGAGGUGCAAGUCAGCGGUCAAAUUGCGGGGCUCAACCCCGUACUGCCGUUGAAACUGCA
rnacentral:rRNA from 1 species